UCUAAGCUGUUUUAAUUGGUUUAUAGGUUACCUUUGUGUACGCUGUUACCACUGGCUUAUAAGAAGAUACGGGAAGUUGGUGGAGCUGUCGAUUCAUCAUUACACAAAGGCGUCGAACUUAACAGGGACUCCCCAACUUUCAGUUGUGCCUAUUAUAACGCUACCGAAGUCGUCGUUGCCAUGACUACCAAGAAGAAAAAAGACGCUUAUUACAAAAUAUUGUGCGCAAUCCGGACUUCUCCGCGCAACAAUCAUCGUUUUUACCUUCUCGUGAUUAUCCUAGCGGCUGAGAAUAGGAGCAGACGAGAAGAUAAACACGAGAUUUGAUGGUAGCAAGCAAAGAAGUUAGGCACAAUAGGAGAACAAACAAGCAACCCCAAAACCCUGGGCAUACAUACAGAUGAUCUUCACGAAACAAAAUAGCAAAAAGGAUUUCUACAUGACUUUUUCAUCUCGAGAAGAACAAGCACGUGGGGGUUCUGAUGGGACGGUAAUAAUAGCUGGCAGCCUUCAAGAUGUGACGCAGGCCAUUCACUCUUGUCCCUCUGUUUGGAGUUAAGCUCAUCAAGUAAAGAUUAGGCUGCUGCACUAGUUACACCUAUCACGGAUGGCAAUUGCAUGCGCCUCUUGACGAUACCCUACCCCCUGCAAUCCCCAAUCAAGGACUAGGCUUCAUUGUACUAAUUAGAUUCCAAGAGAGAGAUUGGAAACGUGACGAUCGCUAUAUAGCCUCUUGCAGGCUGAUUAUAAUCGCUGUCCCAGCUUACUUUAUUUGCAGUCGAACACGGUCGAUGUAUAGGGAGAAGCAAGAAACACUGGAUUGGAAUAAAAGAAGAGGGAAUUUACUUGUAAGCUCGAUAUGUUCUAUUGUCAGAACUCUACGAAACCGACUUGGUCUUACAAGCUUUAACGCACAUAAUAAUAGACAAUCGGCUAUGGAGGCCUAACACUGCGACUUGUGAUUUUCGUGAUUAGCUGUUGCUCUUCGUCAAAUAUUUGAAGUGGGCCGUUUUAUGGCUCCGCCGUGAUGAUGUCCGAGGAAGCUAAAGGCGGAACUGCGAACAGACGGCCGUAAGGAAAUGACGGGAGCGCCUCACGCAUAGCAGAGAAAAUGUUGCUCGUAUAUUAUACGAACGACCGAAACGGAUGGAGAAAAGGUGGGAACACGUUUUUUUUUAUCGGUGCCAGUCACGCCAAUCGCCACCGGCUGAUAGUCACGCAACGCGUUGCAUAUCCGUUUAUAUUCCCGAACACGUCGAAAUUUGUAUAUUUUUCUAGAUAAUUCGUCAAAACAAAAGAAUGUAAAAAAACAAAACAAAAAACAACCGAGCGUGUUGCGGCCGUGUUUAACGAUCCUUAAUCAACAGUGCGAUCCAUCGCGCUUUGCGGAACGAUGAGGUAAUUGUUUUGUAUUCACGAUCGUCAAAAAGAAGAUGGCCGUAAUAAUUGUUUAUAAAACGCGCCUUGUAUUCACUAAGUAGCCGAAGUCUUCUGGCACGCGUUUGGGUCGUUUCGCCUUGUUAGAACAAGAAGAUGGAUUUAAAGACGUGGCUCAUUGUUGAAUGAGCCACGCAACGGUUAUGCACCUCUUUAAUGUACGUCAUACUUUUGUUUGAAUCGGUCAUGUCCCUACAAAGACUUUCUCUAAUGUCAUUGGCACAAAAUGCUUUUGUAAAAACUAUGAGUGAUGAGGAACCGUGACGUAAUACUCGUAGAAAAAAUUGUUUAUUGGGCUUCUUGACUAGAGAAUUAGCCGACCUGUUCGUGACGUGUCGUUGCCCCGGGGGUGAACGAGCCUGCCUUUCUCAGUUUUGUUUGUUUGUGGUUAAUGUUUGAAUGAGGAAGUAUUUUGCACUAGGUUUACGGUGAUGUAUCGAUCAUGAACAUUAACGUCUUUGCGGGGUGCCUUACGAUGCAAGUUCGUUUGUCCUAGAAUGUUCAAUGGCCUCUCGUUUGCAGGUGUUUGUCAACUGGCGAUUUCACUAGCUCACAU